rnacentral:tRNA from 1 species
GCGCCCGUAGCUCAAUUGGUUAGAGCACGCGACUGUGACUCGCGAGGUUACGGGUUCGAUGCCCGCCGGGCGCC